rnacentral:rRNA from 1 species
CAGCCGCCGCGGUAAUACGAAGGGUGCAAGCGUUACUCGGAAUUACUGGGCGUAAAGCGUGCGUAGGUGGUGGUUUAAGUCCGUUGUGAAAGCCCUGGGCUCAACCUGGGAAUUGCAGUGGAUACUGGGUCACUAGAGUGUGGUAGAGGAUAGUGGAAUUUCCGGUGUAGCAGUGAAAUGCGUAGAGAUCGGAAGGAACGUCUGUGGCGAAGGCGACUAUCUGGGCCAACACUGACACUGAGGCACGAGAGCGUGGGGAGCAAACAGGAUUAGAUACCCCUGUAGUCCCUGUCUCUUAUAC